UACGUAGGGGGCAAGCGUUGUCCGGAAUUAUUGGGCGUAAAGAGCUUGUAGGCGGUUUGUCGCGUCUGCUGUGAAAUUUCGGGGCUCAACCCCGAACUUGCAGUGGGUACGGGCAGACUAGAGUGUGGUAGGGGAGACUGGAAUUCCUGGUGUAGCGGUGAAAUGCGCAGAUAUCAGGAGGAACACCGGUGGCGAAGGCGGGUCUCUGGGCCGAUACUGACGCUGAGGAGCGAAAGCGUGGGGAGCGAACAGG
rnacentral:rRNA from 1 species